rnacentral:rRNA from 1 species
GACGAACGCUGGCGGCGUGCUUAACACAUGCAAGUCGAGCGGAGCGGCGAACGGGUGAGUAACGCGGGAGUAACUGCCCCCCUCUCUGUGAUAACAGUUGGAAACGGCUGCUAAUACCGGAUAGUGGGGGAUGACUCGCGGCCUAUCAGCUUGUUGGGGGGGUAGUGGCCUACCAAGGCGACGACGGGUAGCCGGCCUGAGGGGGCGACCGGCCACAUUGGGCUGAGGUAGGGCGCAAACUGCUACGGGAGGCAGCGGUGGGGAAUAUUGCGCAAUGGGGGAAAGCCUGAUGCAGCAACGCGCGGGCGGGAUGACGGCCUUCGGGUUGGAAACCGCGUUCAGCCAUGACGCGGUGGUGGCAGAAGAAGCACCGGCUAACUACGUGCCAGCAGCCGCGGUAAUAC